GGGUCAGUAGGUUGGUCGUGCCACCGGUACGUACUGGUCUCACUGAUUCCUCCUUCCUGAAUAACCGUAAUGCCAUUAAUUUGGUGUUGCGGGGAAACAGGACUGUUACUUUGAAAAAAUUAGAGUGUUUAAAGCAAGCUAACGCUUGAAUACAUUAGCAUGGAAUAAUGAAAUAGGACGAUCGAUCCUAUUUUGUUGGUUUUUAGGAUUGACGUA
rnacentral:rRNA from 1 species